GGCCUCGUAGCUCAGCUGGUAGAGCAUGCGCAAAGCGUAGGCGGUGUCCAUGCGUGGGUUCGAACCCCACCGAGGCUA
rnacentral:tRNA from 1 species